UACGGAGGGUGCGAGCGUUUGUCCGGAAUCACUGGGCGUAAAGGGCGCGUAGGUGCGACGCAAGUCAACGGUGAAAGCUCGACGCUCAACGUCGAGUCGGCCGUCGAUACUGCAUCGCUGGAGCACUGUAGAGGCAGAUGGAAUUCCGGGUGUAGCGGUGGAAUGCGUAGAGAUCGAGGAAGAACAUCGGUGGCGAAGGCGCUCUGCUGACCAUAACUGACACUCAGGGAGCGAAAGCUAGGGGAGCGAAUGGG
rnacentral:rRNA from 1 species